rnacentral:rRNA from 1 species
GACGAACGCUGGCGGCGUGCUUAACACAUGCAGGUCGAACGGUAAGGCCCUUCGGGGUACACGAGUGGCGAACAGGUGAGUAACACGUGGGUGAUCUGCCCUGCACUUCGGGAUAAGCCUGGGAAACUGGGUCUAAUACCGGAUAGGACCACUGCCUGCAUGGGUGGUGGUGGAAAGCUUUUGCGGUGUGGGAUGGGCCCGCGGCCUAUCAGCUUGUUGGUGGGGUGAUGGCCUACCAAGGCGACGACGGGUAGCCGGCCUGAGAGGGUGACCGGCCACACUGGGACUGUGGUACGGCCCAGACUCCUACGGGAGGCAGCAGUGGGGAAUAUUGCACAAUGGGCGCAAGCCUGAUGCAGCGACGCCGCGUGAGGGAUGACGGCCUUCGGGUUGUAAACCUCUUUCAGCACCGACGAAGCGCAAGUGACGGUAGGUGCAGAAGAAGGACCGGCCAACUACGUGCCAGCCGCCGCGGUAA